rnacentral:lncRNA from 1 species
UCUCUGCGGCCAUCAUGGGAUCGUGCUCUUCUCGCUCGUUGAGCUGGUCCCUUCGCCGUGGCCUGCUGGUGACGGUCUGGAGCGAUGCUGAGCCCGGGCCCAGCCUCUCAGCUCCGCCUUGUGCGCUGCACAGAUCUAGGGGAGCCUGGUAAGUCGAGGUCUGCAUCGCGGGGCGCCGCGCGUGGGCGGGGUGUCGGCUGCAAUGAUGAUGAAACUAGAAAAAAAAGGAAGUGCCGUCCGAUGCGACAACUGACGACAUCCCUAGUUAGCUGACUGCAGUCGUUUAAGCCUCGGCGACCCAGUGCUGAACACAAGUGUUCUAAUUGCCCCUCAUGACUCUUACUCUUCUAACCUUUCAGACGGGACGUUGACAACGUGGAAUAGGAGCAGUAUCAUCCCACCAUGAGGUUGGGGAUUUAAGAGUGGAAGAUUGCCAACAGCUGUGGCCUCCCAUGAGGGUGUCCCCUUUCAAGUUCUCAGAACGGACGCAGGACUGCAGAUCUGUGCUGGCAGCAGCAGAGGCUAUAUUCCCAGAGGAGUCUCCAGCCGGCCUGAAAGCAAAUAUCCUAAGUGACAUGUCUGCCAAUUUUGUUCUGGGUGGGCACAUUUGGUAAUCCUGUCUGUACCACAGGAUCUUCUAUGCCUUUUAAAAAUAAACAUUUGUUUAUAAACCAGAU